GAGGGAUUAGCGCACAACCGCACGCUGCAGUCCCAACCCCUCGCAAUCCCAAACCUAGCCGCCUCUUCCCUCUCAUCUAACUCACCUCACGGCAGUUCAUGAUGCAGUGAUGCCUCCCCGCUGGUGACCAGUGGCCUCAGGUUACAAGAUGGACGUUCUGGAGGCGCCAAGGGGUCCCUGGCGUAGUAACUUGUACGAUCCCUUACUGCAAUGGUGGCGGCGUGCCGGAUCUCUAGGGCGUAUCGUUGAAUGUCGAUGUGGCCUAUCAUGCGAUGGUGCAAACAGCUAUGGAGACGACGUGGACAUGAAGUGAUUCAUGAUUGAGUUCUUUUCCCGUUACUGCAGGCAAGGGUGAACCAGACAAGAAGUCCAGACCAUUCGUUCUUGGUUCCUUGCGAUGUGAGAUCUGUCAACAAGGAGUGUGUUCCGAUCAUUAAUGUAAUAUUAUCCUUCGGAUGUGGUGAUGCAGAACCACAUGAGGUACAGCUGACAGAUUAAUGCAGUCUAGAAUUUAGGAGAUACAAUCCCGUCGCUAAUCAUGGUCGUUCAGAGUCUCUUCAGGAAUUAGGCAAAGGGACGGUAAAAGGCUUUGUGGCCGUACAAAGAUGUAUGUUCACCUGAAAUACUACACUGAAAAAAGGUUGGAUUUUUUUAGCGAGACCCCAUAUAUAUAUGCUUUUACAUGCAUGAUCAGUUAAUGAAAAAUUAUUGGCCGAUCUUCUGUAGAUUCAUUCAUUCAGAUCUCAUCGAGUUUAUUUCUUAUCCGCAUUUCAGCAUGUAUUUCCAUUUGUGUGGUAGCCGCUAUGGCUUGUGUGUUUGAUGACCUAUUUUAACUGAAAAUGAUAGCAAAAGUUUAUUGCAUACUGACAUAGCUUUGGCAUCCAUCCAACGUGAGUGUACGUACGUACAAAUUUGUAAGGAAGAAUUCAGUAUAAUUUACUAACCUUCACAAUUUUCUGCUACUUUUUUUUACUGAAAUCGAUACUUUGUACUUGCAGGUGCCAUGCAAGAUCCCAUCAUCAGUAGGACUUGUUAAAUUCGGAUAGCAGCGCCGAGUGUGCUACGCAAAAUUUUAGAAAGAAUAUAUAGGACUUGAUACAAUAUCAUAUAUAUGUUGAUGAAAGAUUGUAAAUUUUCUACUUUUCAGGCCAUUUUCAUGUAUCAGAUUGUGGUUACAUGCAAUAAUAAAUAUUGAAUUCCUUGUC